rnacentral:rRNA from 1 species
UGCGCAGGUGGGCUUGUAAGUCAGUGGUGAAAUACUGCCGCUUAACGGUAGAACUGCCAUUGAUACUGCAAGUCUUGAGUAUGGUUGAGGUAGGCGGAAUGUGUUGUGUAGCGGUGAAAUGCAUAGAUAUGACACAGAACGCCGAUUGCGAAGGCAGCUUACUAAGCCAUUAUUGACGCUGAGGCACGAAAGCGUGGGGAGCGAACAGGAUUAGAUACCCUGGUAGUCC